CCGCUUAUGGCCUCGUCUGAUCUCAGAAGCUAAGCAGGGUCGGGCCUGGUUAGUACUUGGAUGGGAGACCAACUGGGAAUGCNNNN
rnacentral:rRNA from 1 species